GUCCUCUUCUGGGUGCAAGUGGCUGC
rnacentral:piRNA from 1 species